rnacentral:rRNA from 1 species
GGCCCACCAAGGCGACGAUCGGUAGCCGGACUGAGAGGUUGAACGGCCACAUUGGGACUGAGACACGGCCCAGACUCCUACGGGAGGCAGCAGUGGGGAAUAUUGCACAAUGGGGGAAACCCUGAUGCAGCGACGCCGCGUGGAGGAAGAAGGUCUUCGGAUUGUAAACUCCUGUUGUUGGGGAAGAUAAUGACGGUACCCAACAAGGAAGUGACGGCUAACUACGUGCCAGCAGCCGCGGUAAAACGUAGGUCACAAGCGUUGUCCGGAAUUACUGGGUGUAAAGGGAGCGCAGGCGGGAAGACAAGUUGGAAGUGAAAUCUAUGGGCUCAACCCAUAAACUGCUUUCAAAACUGUUUUUCUUGAGUAGUGCAGAGGUAGGCGGAAUUCCCGGUGUAGCGGUGGAAUGCGUAGAUAUCGGGAGGAACACCAGUGGCGAAGGCGGCCUACUGGGCACCAACUGACGCUGAGGCUCGAAAGUGUGGGUAGCAAACAGGAUUAGAUACCCUGGUAGUCCACACCGUAAACGAUGAUUACUAGGUGUUGGAGGAUUGACCCCUUCAGUGCCGCAGUUAACACAAUAAGUAAUCCACCUGGGGAGUACGACCGCAAGGUUGAAACUCAAAGGAAUUGACGGGGGCCCGCACAAGCAGUGGAGUAUGUGGUUUAAUUCGACGCAACGCGAAGAACCUUACCAAGUCUUGACAUCCCUUGACAGGCAUAGAAAUAUGUUUUCUCUUCGGAGCAAGGAGACAGGUGGUGCAUGGUUGUCGUCAGCUCGUGUCGUGAGAUGUUGGGUUAAGUCCCGCAACGAGCGCAACCCUUAUGGUCAGUUACUACGCAAGAGGACUCUGGCCAGACUGCCGUUGACAAAACGGAGGAAGGUGGGGAUGACGUCAAAUCAUCAUGCCCUUUAUGACUUGGGCUACACACGUACUACAAUGGCGUUAAACAAAGAGAAGCAAGACCGCGAGGUGGAGCAAAACUCAGAAACAACGUCCCAGUUCGGACUGCAGGCUGCAACUCGCCUGCACGAAGUCGGAAUUGCUAGUAAUCGUGGAUCAGCAUGCCACGGUGAAUACGUUCCCGGGCCUUGUACACACCGCCCGUCACACCAUGAGAGCCGGGGGGACCCGAAGUCGGUAGUCUAACCGCAAGGAGGACGCCGCCGAAGGUAAAACUGGUGAUUGGGGUGAAGUCGUAACAAGGUAGCCGUAGGAGAACCUGCGGCUG